rnacentral:rRNA from 1 species
UACGUAGGGUCCGAGCGUUGUCCGGAAUUAUUGGGCGUAAAGGGCUCGUAGGCGGUUUGUCGCGUCGGGAGUGAAAACACGGGGCUUAACCCCCGUGCCUGCUUCCGAUACGGGCAGACUAGAGGUAUGCAGGGGAGACUGGAAUUCCUGGUGUAGCGGUGAAAUGCGCAGAUAUCAGGAGGAACACCGGUGGCGAAGGCGGGUCCUG